ACAUGCAGUCGAGCGCUACCUUCGGGUGGAGCGGCGGACGGGUGAGUAACGCGUGGGAACGUGCCCUUCUCUGCGGGAUAGCCACUGGAAACGGUGAGUAAUACCGCAUACGCCCUUUUGGGGAAAGAUUUAUCGGAGAAGGAUCGGCCCGCGUCUGAUUAGGUAGUUGGUGGGGUAAUGGCCUACCAAGCCUACGAUCAGUAGCUGGUUUUAGAGGAUGAUCAGCCACACUGGGACUGAGACACGGCCCAGACUCCUACGGGAGGCAGCAGUGGGGAAUCUUAGACAAUGGGCGCAAGCCUGAUCUAGCCAUGCCGCGUGAGUGAUGAAGGUCUUAGGAUCGUAAAGCUCUUUCGCCAGGGAUGAUAAUGACAGUACCUGGUAAAGAAACCCCGGCUAACUCCGUGCCAGCAGCCGCGGUAAUACGGAGGGGGUUAGCGUUGUUCGGAAUUACUGGGCGUAAAGCGCGCGUAGGCGGAUUGGAAAGUUGGGGGUGAAAUCCCGGGGCUCAACCCCGGAACUGCCUCCAAAACUCCCAGUCUUGAGUUCGAGAGAGGUGAGUGGAAUUCCGAGUGUAGAGGUGAAAUUCGUAGAUAUUCGGAGGAACACCAGUGGCGAAAGGCGGCUCACUGGCUCGAUACUGACGCUGAGGUGCGAAAGUGUGGGGAGCAAACAGGAUUAGAUACCCUGGUA
rnacentral:rRNA from 1 species